GGACCCGCACAAGCGGUGGAGCAUGUGGUUUAAUUCGACGCAACGCGAAGAACCUUACCAAGGCUUGACAUCCCUUGACGAUCUAAGAGAUUAGAUUUUCUUUUCGGAGACAAGGAGACAGGUGGUGCACGGUUGUCGUCAGCUCGUGUCGUGAGAUGUUGGGUUAAGUCCCGCAACGAGCGCAACCCCUACAGUUAGUUGCCAUCAUUAAGUUGGGCACUCUAGCAGGACUGCCGCGGACAACGCGGAGGAAGGUGGGGAUGACGUCAAAUCAUCAUGCCCCUUAUGUCUUGGGCUACACACGUGCUACAAUGGACAGUACAGAGGGUUGCGAAGCCGCGAGGUGAAGCCAAUCCCAAAAAGCUGUUCUCAGUUCGGAUUGCAGGCUGCAACUCGCCUGCAUGAAGUCGGAAUCGCUAGUAAUCGCAGGUCAGCAUACUGCGGUGAAUACGUUCCCGGGUCUU
rnacentral:rRNA from 1 species